UACGUAGGGGGCGAGCGUUAUCCGGAAUCACUGGGCGUAAAGGGUGCGUAGGCGGGUUUUUAAGUCAGGGGUGAAAUCCUGGAGCUCAACUCCAGAACUGCCUUUGAUACUGAAGAUCUUGAGUCCGGGAGAGGUGAGUGGAACUGCGAGUGUAGAGGUGAAAUUCGUAGAUAUUCGCAAGAACACCAGUGGCGAAGGCGGCUCACUGGCCCGGUACUGACGCUGAGGCACGAAAGCGUGGGGAGCAAACAGG
rnacentral:rRNA from 1 species